rnacentral:snoRNA from 1 species
ACCCCAUGAUGGGGACAGGCGGUGACAUAUUCUUGUAGCCUUUCCCAACCUUCUGGAACUGUCUCAUCUCUCGUCUGCUGGAAGCUGGAUAUUCUUCCACGAAGGGC